rnacentral:tRNA from 1 species
GGUGGGGUCGCAUAGUGGUCGAGUGCGCUCGCUUGGAAAGCGAGUAGACCGCAAGGUCUCGCGGGUUCGAAUCCCGCCCCCACCGCCA